rnacentral:rRNA from 1 species
UACAGAGGAUGCAAGCGUUAUCCGGAAUGAUUGGGCGUAAAGAGCGUGUAGGCGGCCAGAAAAGUCCGCUGUGAAAACUCGAGGCUCAACUUCGAGCUGUCGGUGGAAACUUUCUGGCUAGAGUACGGAAGAGGCGAGUGGAAUUCCUGGUGUAGCGGUGGAAUGCGCAGAUAUCAGGAGGAACACCAAUAGCGAAGGCAGCUCGCUGGGACGUUACUGACACUGAGGCGCGAAAGCGUGGGGAGCGAACAGG